GGCCUGGUGAGGCCCUCACAGACCCCCUCCCUCACCUGUGCUGUCUCUGGAUUCUCCAUCACAACUAGUGCUUCCUGCUGGAGCUGGAUCCGCCAGUCCUCAGUCAAGGGAGUGGAUCAGGGCAUAGGUCACGAGGGAGCACAAAUUCUAACCCACUCCUCAUGAGCUCAGUCACCAUCUCCAGAUCCACGUCCAAGAACCAAAUUUUCUUUUAGCUGAGUUCUGUGACCAACAAUGCCACAACCUUGUAUUACUGUGA
rnacentral:lncRNA from 1 species